GUGCGUAGGCGGCGCGGUAAGUCGGGUGUGAAAUCUCGGAGCUUAACUCCGAAACUGCAUUCGAUACUGCCGUGCUUGAGGACUGGAGAGGAGACUGGAAUUUACGGUGUAGCGGUGAAAUGCGUAGAUAUCGUAAGGAAGACCAGUGGCGAAGGCGGGUCUCUGGACAGUUCCUGACGCUGAGGCACGAAGGGUCAGGGAAGGGCAAACG
rnacentral:rRNA from 1 species